UGUCUGGAAAAAAAAAAAGUUUUUUAAGUUCCAAAGUAGCAUAUACAGUAUGAUUCCAUUUUGAAUUUGUACUUACUAUAAUUCAUAGAAAGGGUCUGGAAGAUUCCUACAAAGUAUUCACACUGGUUGUCUUUAAAUGGGUAGGAUUUGGAGGUUUUGUGUUUUGGGGGUUUUUUCAGCCUUCAUUUUCUAAAGCAAAAAUAAUUGCUUUUUCAUGGGAACUAAAUUAUUUACAAUUUUAUAAAUCUAUCACAGUAAAAAAUAAAUUACAUAUAAUUGUAAAGAGUUUACUACCUUUCAGCUGUGAAAGUUGAUCAUAUAAAUCGGGCCAUUUUUGUCAUACCUAUUAAAAAGUGGAGAGGCCAGAGGGAGAAAACAUUCAGGUCACAAAUAUCACUUGAAAAAUAUAAUUCUCUACAGGCCUGGCUGCUGAAACUGCCUGCUAACACUUAAAACCAAUUUAAUCUAAAGGCUACUAAGACAGCCUGCUACAAUUCUAAGAUGAAUUUUACCCACCACUGUCACUCAGCAAUCAAAAUUUGCCAACCCCACCAAAACAUUUUAAAAACUAACGUCCAAUUCAUCUAUCAACGACCAACAAUAAAUUCCCUGAGAGUAAAGCCUUUGCUUAGCUUUCCAGUCCCGUUAAACGGCGAAAAGAACAAAAGGGUCCCCAGGACCCUGCCCAACGAUACGCCACAUUCUGUCUACCAAAGCCACCCAGCCAGAACACGCCAGGUGACUGGCAGGCAGAUACUUCCGGAAGAAGUCGGUCCUCCGAACCUGGAAGUGAAGCAGAAGACGCACAGUAUUCUGGGAGGAGUUAGGGAGGCGGGAUUGUCGUUGCUGGCUGUUACCAGGACAACCGGAGGCGAUUGACCGUUAUCUGCGGUUUGCAGCCGUUAGCGGGAGAGGCAGAGAAGUUCAGAGGUCUUUUAGGAUGUGCUAAAGGGUCGUGAGGGCUCUCUUAAGAUUUUCCUCACAAUAGGUUAUCCAGUCGUGCCCCUUGGCCCAGCCGCUGGCCCCGGGGAUCUGAGUCGCACCCUCUUGUUUUUCUCUGAGUCUGUCUUAAGGUGAAAUGAAGUGUGGCCCAGUGGCUCCUCAUUGUCGCUUCUCUAGUUUUCUGCCUCCUUUUAGAAAAUUGAAUUGAGAAGACAGGAUGAAGUGGACACAGCAUGUGAAGACAAUUCUUUCAAGAAGUUUGGCUGUCAAGGAAAAUAGAGAAUGUGAGUAGCCGAAGGAGAAUGACAGGCGAAAGAAAGAAAUUGGGAGCCAGACAAUACAGCCGGACAGUUUACACCUGUAUUGAUGUCCCACCUUUUUCACAAAAGAUUGAGUAUGCUUGGGGAAAAACUACACACUAUCAUAGGAGAAAAUGAUUGGAAGAGAAACUGAGACAAAGGUGAAAGGACCUCAACAAGAGGGAUAAUUGUUUGAAUUAAAGAAUUAAGUAUGAAAAAAGAAGAAGAAGUCAAAAAGAAUACCAAGAUUUCCCCUUGGUAAUAAGGAGGAGGUACUAACAUUGUACUAAAAUCAGCAGAAGGUUUGGGGAGAGAAGGUGCUUGAUUGUGAGUUUCUUGAACAUGGGGCAAACUUAUUCAUAUGUAUCCAUAGCACAUGAAUCCAGUUCAGCUGUUGGGUUUGAGAAAUCUGUGGGAUUUAUCAGGGAAAAGGGUGCAGGAAUGUAGGUCAGGAGUCUGGGGAAAGAAGAUGAAAAAGGAGUUUAAGAUGUAAGAUUCAUUCUUUCAAUAAAGUUUUAUUAAUUAUAUAUCACAAUAUGUAUUUUCAUGAGACUCUAAACUGUCUGAGGGCAGAAACCACGGUUUUUUUUAACCACUUACCCAGCCCCUAGCACAAUACAGAGUCAGUGCUUAUGUAUGUUGAAUAAACAAAUGAAAAAAUACAAAACACAGUGCUUUACAGUAUAGGAGAUGCAGAGUUGAAUUAGAAAAUCUUAAGGGAACAAGAAACACUGGGGUCUACUUGAGGGUGGAGGGUGGGAGCAUGGAGAGGAACAGAAAAAAUAUGGGGUACUAGGCUUAAUACAUGGGUGAUGAAAUAAUCUUUACAACAAACCUUCAUGCGUACCCCCAAACCUAAAAUAAAAGUUUUAAAAGAAGAAAAUCUUCUUAAAGAAGUUUAUAGAGCAGGGGCCCCAUCUCCUUAAAAAAAAAAAAAAAGAAAAAGUGAGUUUAUAGG